AGCUAUGACUGCGCUGUGUACGUUAUGAAGUGGAUGAAGUUAAUUGAGCCAGAAAACAUCAAAAAGGGGAAGUAUCAAUGGGAUAAUUGGCCACAGGAGGAGGUGGACCACUAUAGAGUGGAGUACGCAUCCCGGAUACUAUUCAGUGAGAUGAAGACACAGAGAGAUCAGGCAAUUAGAGAGAGUAGUGCUAUAAGGCUGUCGAAGCCAUCCUCUAUAUUAUUAAGUCCGUUUUGUCAGAUUAAUUCUGCUGAUAUAGAAACUGGGUAAUCCAACUGCUUGGUAGUUUGUAAAUUGAACAAAUGAUGUAAAUAUUUGCCAUUUAUCAACAACUUCUAUUCCAUGUAUAUUUUUUCCCAUAGUUAAACUAUCUGUGCUGGUAAACUGUC